UUAGGCAAUACAAGAUGCUAUACUGACAUUUCUCAUGCGCUGAUUUCUUGAAAGUCUAUGCGAUUGUGCUAGUUUUUCUUUCGUGAUCCAACAGAUAAUCUUCAAGGCCAAGAGGAUUUCUCCUUAUAUUUCCGUUUUGCUGGAUGAUAUUCGGAUCUAUGAUCUCUCGGUCUCUGUACAGUCAACAUCCAGCUCUGGCAACAUUCAAACUUUGUCUUUCACCACUCCUACAACUGCGAUAUUGUCAACGAUAGGAAAAACAAAACUACAGACAGAAGUGGCCAGUACUCUCGUUGUGCGCAUACUACUUGCUUUUGUUACAUUGUAUGGCAUCAUCAUAACAUUGAUGUACCUGCAUCUAAGACGCUCUAAAAUCGCUCUAAAGCAGUCAGUCAGUGACAGGGAGGGCCAAGAACUCGAUCCCUACAUGCCCUUAGAUGCAACAACUAUGGAACAACCAGCGUAUGAGGGAAUCAAAGCAACUAGACACGGAAAAAGAGGCCACACGAAUGCAAUCGAGGUGGCAAAAUAUGGAAAUCAAAGAAUAGUGGAGCAAACAGCUAGAGUGAAGAAUAUUGAACACGAGUACGAGUUGCCGAUCGAAAAGUGAUUCCAUGAAGUAGGACACAGAACGAGCUUUAAAUACAGUCAAAACUUUUUAUUUAAGGUCUCUCAACGGAAUAAAUGGCCACUCGCUGUAAAACGGUUGCUCCUCUAUAGACAGCUUCUACAACACACUGUCUUAUCUUUCACAAUGGAGACAAAUGCAUAGCCACUACAGACAGGUGGCCACGAAGACAAGUUUGACUGUAUAAUAUGAGCUCUUUAUGAAGUUAUAAAUGUAGUGAGUUUUUCGAAAUAUUAUGGGCCGUUACUUGAUAAAUCUGUGUUGAUGUUAAUGUUGUUGUGUUUUUUUUUUUAUUCUAUUUAAAGUGAAUAUGAUCAUAAUAGGUGCGCUAGGCUAGUAUUCUAUCAUGGUUUUGGGUAGGACAGAGAUUACAACUGUGAAAAACAAGGAUAAGAUUAGUUUUAUUAAGAUUUUGAUUGUAUAUGUGUCAUAUUACCGUAUAUAGCCGUAGCAAAUGUGAGCUUUAAAGCCAUACUGGUUCUAGAAGCACUACUGCAAAAUCCCAUCUAGCGCCAUCUCAUGUCAGCUGUAGCAGUAUGGUCUCGUAACUCGAUGCUUCAUUAUGCCUAGGUCACAAUUAAACGGCGACGAGUU